CCCACCACCAGCCCUCAGAACUGAUACAGUAAUUGUGCAUUUUGUACACGUUACACUCUCCACCCAAACCUCUCCAGUCGCUUUGAUUCCUGUUUAAUGCCUUACCUUGCCUUUGGGGCUUCUUUUACAAAGACACCUGAGAGAGACAGACCUGUGAAUCACUGCUGAGGCUAUGCAGCCUGAUGCCUGGAGGCCUCACAGAGUCGCUAAGGUCGGAACAGACCACUGCGGCCAUCUAGGCCGACUGUCAGCCCAUCCCCACCAAACCACGUGCCUGACUGCCACACUCCCACGUUUCUCUAAAGCACAUCGCGCACGGACCCAAAAGCUCUGCCCUCCAGAAUCGCCGUUCUGCCCCUACGGCCAAAUUCAGCGCUGUGCUGAGGCCUCAAACCCAGAUAUCGUGUGCUACCUCCCAAAAGCCGGGGCACCAACACCCGGAGCCACAGGUCCCCAGCUCAGCCACCUUAAGCACCGCGCUGCACGGAGCAGGGAGACCAAGUUAGCAACACAUCACGGCCCAGGGUAAUCCCCGAGGCAGCACCGAUACCAGUCGGUUUCCACACCGAAACACCACGAAAGGUACUUUUACUAAAAUAGGUUCCAUAGCGAAAAAAGCCGACGAUAAAACCAUUUUUUGGGGCUUCGGCUGAGUGUGGCAUGAGCACGUGUUUAGCUACACGGGUCACACAACAAGCACCAAGAAACGCAACCCUAAGCAGCAGCACGAUUUAGGAGAACCGUUCGCCCAGCAGCCGCUCAGGGACACGGAGCGCAGCAGAAAGGGGCGCCCGCAGGCAGUCGGCAACCUCCGACAGAGCUCCGGGACCGGUCGAGCAGCGACGGGAAAGGCUUCCGAGCGCUCGCAGCCACUCUGCGCGGCGCGGCACAACAGGCUGGGGAAAGAAUUGAACAAAGAAUGUUAUGACUAUUGACCUGAGACAGUCUCCUGGAAAUAAUCUGACAGCAGGGAGCAGCAAGUCCUUUUCAAAACCAACGAAGCAAGAAAAUGAUGCCGACUAAGAUAUUGUGAGAGAUAUGGGGGAGACAGAUAAAAAGGUGGAGAAGGAGGAGAACCAAUGAAACUACACCUUAACCUCAUAUCUAACAUUCCUUUAAAAGAAAGUAACGUUUUCAAGGCCAUCACUUAAUGACAUCUCUGCUGUAACUAAUCCUCAUUGCAAAACAGACACUUGUCUGCAGACAGCUGGCUUGCUUACCCCAUGGCUGCAGGGUUUUUGCACAUGGUGCUAUGUAGCUUUGAAUUAUAAUGGCCUGUGGUAGCUUUGGGAAACAAGGUGGCAUUUUUGUGAACUUCAUCUCAGCUGAUGUUCUUCACCUGAGGAUACAUCUUUUCAGUAAAAGGCCACUGCCUGUGACACAGAAAUACUGAAAUGUUUGCAUGUUUGUAUUAAGAAAAACCCAACAACCACAUACAAAGCAAAGGCAUUCCUAGUCUUGAUGAGAUCAUCAUCAGCCAGCAUCUCAGGACCACUUCCAUAGUAAAAUUAUGGCUUCACGGGAACCCUGAGGAUGAAGAGGACCACGCUGGGAUGCAUUUUAUCCAACCUGUACCUAACAGUGACAAAAAGAUGUAACAAUGGGCCUAUGUGCUCUCUUAAAUAAGUAACAGUCACCAUCUUAAAUAGUUUAAGAAUGACUGAAGCCCUCACGUGUUUGUAUUGGAGAAAGUUCCCACUCAGGAUUUGGGUUUUGUUUGUUCUUAAUGAUUUUUGGUUCUUUACACCGACCUCCCGUUCUUUUUGUCCAUAUCCACAUGCACACAGAGAAGUUUCUCACUGAAAUGCAAAACCUUCAGUGUUAGUUCAUCUCUUGAGUUAAUCCAUUUACACCAAAAGCCAAGAGACUGAAAUUAUUACUGUGGAGGGCUGGCAGAGGGGCUCCGUUGGGAAGCAGAGCAGUGGAUUUGAAUUCCCUGUCCCUCAUUGUUUUCCCACAUUGUCUGCUAAUCUAAACUGCAUGUAAACAAAGGGGAUUUCAUUAGCAAAACUGAAGCUGUAGAUGAACCUUAGCUUUUAUUUAUGGCAUUUCUUGGUGAAACAGAGGCUUUUUUUCUCCCCAUCACAUCAUGAGGGAGUGCAGAGUCAUUAGAUAAAUGUUCUAAAGCACCAGAAAUCACCUAUUUAUUCUUAUUCAGAUAUGUGUUGCCACUGUCACACAGCAAUUUCAUGACUAAGUUUGUACACCUUGAUGUUUUUAACCAUGAUAUCACACUGUAGGAUUCCUUUUUAAGAAAGAACUUCUUGGUUAUUUCAAGGAGUAAAACCCAGAACAGAGCAAGUGGAUUUUCAGAACUUGGAAUCGUUAUCUAUAAAAGAAAUUUCCUCUGUUGUACCAAAGGCAGAUGUCCUGCAGCAGCACUGAUAGCAAGGUACAGAAAACCAAAUCUAAACUUUUGAUGAAAUAAUGGCAGUACUUUUCCAUGCAUUCAGGAUCAAAAAAAUAGCCGAGUAAACGUAAUAAAGGAAUGAAGAUAAAGCCCAAGCAAAGAUGCCACAAACCACCUCUGGGAUUAAAGCAAGCAUGUGUAAUGGGAGCCCGAAGGGUAAUGUAUUCAGGAAGCUGUAAGUGCCUGAAAAUGAAGGCUUAGAAUGAAAGCACCUCUUCAGCCAUAACUCUGGUGUCAGUAACGUAAAGCCAUAAUCUUUUUUCCUAUUUUCCAACUAUUAUCUAAGCACUAAGUGUCAGUUAAGUUGUAACAGAUCAAGAAUUUUCAGUGGGCUGGAAAUCAUCUUUUGUUGCCUCAUUUCAUAUAUAUAGGGAUGUUAAGAACAAAAUUACAAUUUUGUCAUUGUGUUUAACUGAUCUUUGGUUUACUGCUGCUGCGACAACCUUUUAAGGAGAGACUGUGAAAUGAAAUGAUACUUCAGCACCCUAAUAGACUGAAAGUGUCUUUUUUUUUUUUUUCCUUUUUGAACCAGAAUUUAACACCAGAAAGGUUAAAGCCUAGAUCUGUGAUAAAAGCAUGAGAGACGCAUAUUUGUUAGCAGGCACAUAAAGGGAUCCUGGUUCAAACCCUUCUCGUCUUUUGAGGGCUGACAGACAAAAUGUAGCUGUCCGGAGUCAAAGCGUGCCUUUGCCUUACAAAUCUUGUUAAUAACAGAAAAGAUAGUCUACUUUUGCUUAACUGUUUUACUGAAGUACUGCAACAGAGAAAGUUAUGCACAAUGUGCUCCCCAUCCACAGGUUCUAACGUGUAUAACACUUUAUUCUCUUUAGAAGGUAUAGAGGCAAGUGAUAAAUAUAUAUAUGUCAAUUAAAAAAAAAUUAUGUUGAGGUACCUUAAUUUAAGUAAUGUUUGGUCACUGCUUGCAUGAGAGAAAUGGAGAGGAUGAGGUGGGAAAAAUAGCCAUGCCAGUCCUACCAGGGUAUUAAGUUGGCUUUAUGUAAAGGUUUGUAAAUCAAAAUACACCAUAGGCUGUGUGUUCAAGUAAGUAG
ensembl:lncRNA